rnacentral:rRNA from 1 species
AACGCUAGCUACAGGCUUAACACAUGCAAGUCGAGGGGAAACGACAUCGAAAGCUUGCUUUUGAUGGGCGUCGACCGGCGCACGGGUGAGUAACGCGUAUCCAACCUGCCCACCACUUGGGGAUAACCUUGCGAAAGUAAGACUAAUACCCAAUGACGUCUCUAGAAGACAUCUGAAAGAGAUUAAAGAUUUACCGGUGAUGGAUGGGGAUGCGUCUGAUUAGCUUGUUGGCGGGGUAACGGCCCACCAAGGCGACGAUCAGUAGGGGUUCUGAGAGGAAGGUCCCCCACAUUGGAACUGAGACACGGUCCAAACUCCUACGGGAGGCAGCAGUGAGGAAUAUUGGUCAAUGGACGAGAGUCUGAACCAGCCAAGUAGCGUGCAGGAUGACGGCCCUAUGGGUUGUAAACUGCUUUUAUAAGGGAAUAAAGUGAGCCUCGUGAGGCUUUUUGCAUGUACCUUAUGAAUAAGGACCGGCUAAUUCCGUGCCAGCAGCCGCGGUAAUACGGAAGGUCCGGGCGUUAUCCGGAUUUAUUGGGUUUAAAGGGAGCGUAGGCCGGAGAUUAAGCGUGUUGUGAAAUGUAGGCGCUCAACGUCUGCACUGCAGCGCGAACUGGUUUCCUUGAGUACGCACAAAGUGGGCGGAAUUCGUGGUGUAGCGGUGAAAUGCUUAGAUAUCACGAAGAACUCCGAUUG